rnacentral:rRNA from 1 species
CUGGCCGUAAACGAUGAACACUAGAUGUUGGGGGAAUCGACCCCUCCGGUGUCGUAGCUAACGCGUUAAGUGUUCCGCCUGGGGAGUACGCACGCAAGUGUGAAACUCAAAGGAAUUGACGGGGGCCCGCACAAGCGGUGGAGUAUGUGGUUUAAUUCGAUGCAACGCGAAGAACCUUACCAAGGCUUGACAUCCUGCGAAUCUCCAAGAAAUUGGAGAGUGCCUUCGGGAACGCAGUGACAGGUGGUGCAUGGCUGUCGUCAGCUCGUGUCGUGAGAUGUUGGGUUAAGUCCCGCAACGAGCGCAACCCACGUUUUUAGUUGCCAGCAUUCAGUUGGGCACUCUAGAAAGACUGCCGGUGACAAACCGGAGGAAGGUGUGGACGACGUCAAGUCAUCAUGCCCCUUACGCCUUGGGCUACACACGUACUACAAUGCUGCGGACAAAGAGUAGCGAUCUUGCAAAAGUUAGCUAAUCUCGUAAACCGUGGCUCAGUUCAGAUCGUAGGCUGCAACUCGCCUACGUGAAGGAGGAAUCGCUAGUAAUCGCAGGUCAGCAUACUGCGGUGAAUACGUUCCCGGGCCUUGUACACACCGCCCGUCACACCAUGGAAGUUGGCCAUGCCCGAAGUCGUUACUCUAACCUUUUGGAAGAGGGCGCCGAAGGCAGGGCUAAUGACUGGGGUGAAGUCGUAACAAGGUAGCCGUAGCGGAAGCUGCGGCUGGAUCACCUCCUAA